rnacentral:rRNA from 1 species
UACGAGGGGUGCGAGCGUUAUUCGGAAUCAUUGGGCGUACAGGGCGCGUAGACGGCAUAUUAAGUCAACUGUUAAAUUUCCCGGCCUAACCGGGAGCCAGCAGUAGAUACUGAUGUGCUAGAGGGUGGAAGAGAGAAGUGGAAUUCUCGGAGUAGCGGUAAAAUGCGUAGAUCUCGAGAGGAACACCGAUGGCGAAGGCAGCUUCUUGGUCCAUACCUGACGUUGAGGCGCGAAAGCGUGGGGAGCAAAC